UCCACGCCCUAAACGAUGGCAACUAGGUGUUGGGGGCUAUCAACCCCCUCAGUGCCGAAGCUAACGCGAUAAGUUGCCCGCCUGAGGACUACGAGCGCAAGCUUAAAACUCAAAGGAAUUGACGGGGACCCGCACAAGCAGCGGAGCGUGUGGUUUAAUUCGAUGCAACGCGAAGAACCUUACCUGGGCUUGACAUGGCCGUAGUAGUGAAGCGAAAGCGGAACGAGCCUGUAUAGGCAGCGGUCACAGGUGCUGCAUGGCUGUCGUCAGCUCGUGCCGUGAGGUGUUGGGUUAAGUCCC
rnacentral:rRNA from 1 species